rnacentral:rRNA from 1 species
AGAGUUUGAUCCUGGCUCAGGACGAACGCUGGCGGCGCGCCUAACACAUGCAAGUCGAACGGAGCUGAGAGGAGCUUGCUUUUCUUAGCUUAGUGGCGAACGGGUGAGUAACGCGUGAGUAACCUGCCCUGGAGUGGGGGACAACAGUUGGAAACGACUGCUAAUACCGCAUAAGCCCACGGAUCCGCAUGGAUCUGCGGGAAAAGGAUUUAUUCGCUUCAGGAUGGACUCGCGUCCAAUUAGCUAGUUGGUGAGGUAACGGCCCACCAAGGCGACGAUUGGUAGCCGGACUGAGAGGUUGAACGGCCACAUUGGGACUGAGACACGGCCCAGACUCCUACGGGAGGCAGCAGUGGGGAAUAUUGCACAAUGGGGGAAACCCUGAUGCAGCGACGCCGCGUGGAGGAAGAAGGUUUUCGGAUUGUAAACUCCUGUCGUUAGGGACGAUAAUGACGGUACCUAACAAGAAAGCACCGGCUAACUACGUGCCAGCAGCCGCGGUAAAACGUAGGGUGCAAGCGUUGUCCGGAAUUACUGGGUGUAAAGGGAGCGCAGGCGGACCGGCAAGUUGGAAGUGAAAACUAUGGGCUCAACCCAUAAAUUGCUUUCAAAACUGCUGGCCUUGAGUAGUGCAGAGGUAGGUGGAAUUCCCGGUGUAGCGGUGGAAUGCGUAGAUAUCGGGAGGAACACCAGUGGCGAAGGCGACCUACUGGGCACCAACUGACGCUGAGGCUCGAAAGCAUGGGUAGCAAACAGGAUUAGAUACCCUGGUAGUCCAUGCCGUAAACGAUGAUUACUAGGUGUUGGAGGAUUGACCCCUUCAGUGCCGCAGUUAACACAAUAAGUAAUCCACCUGGGGAGUACGACCGCAAGGUUGAAACUCAAAGGAAUUGACGGGGGCCCGCACAAGCAGUGGAUUAUGUGGUUUAAUUCGAAGCAACGCGAAGAACCUUACCAGGCCUUGACAUCCGACUAACGAGAUAGAGAUAUGUCAGGUGCCCUUCGGGGAAAGUCGAGACAGGUGGUGCAUGGUUGUCGUCAGCUCGUGUCGUGAGAUGUUGGGUUAAGU